rnacentral:piRNA from 1 species
CUGUUAAAUGAUUGAUCCCGCC